CUCUCAUUACUCAUCAUUCUCCUUCUUUGUUCUUGCCUCUUCACAACUCAAUGUCGAGAAUUUCAAGUAUGACUUUUGACCCUUUUUUUCCCCUUUCAUGUUAUCACUCUCUCUGUUUCUAUUGUUAAACCCUUUUUUUUUUCUUUUCCAGCCGAGAAGCUAAAGUCGGUAUGUCUCUAGACUCUAAUCUUGUUUUUUUCCUUCUUGUCCUCUCUCCUUCUCUCUAUCUCUCUAUUUUUUUUCCUUGUUGUAUUUCUUCUUUUUCCUAGAGUUUUUUUUUUUUUUUUUUUGGUAUCUAAACUCUGUGCUCUUUUUAUUUUUCAUUGAAAAUGCAGAUAGAAGACUUAGAAUCAAGUUGCACAACAUCUAUAUGUUUUCUUCGUGUUCAUUUUACCUAAUUUUUGCUUGCUCAUAUCAUUUGUGUUUUUUAUUUCUAUUUUAUUCCUAUUUUUUCACACUUAGACCCUUUGGUAA